CCUACGGGAGGCAGCAGUGAGGAAUAUUGGUCAAUGGGCGGAAGCCUGAACCAGCCAAGUCGCGUGAGGGAAUAAGGCCCUACGGGUCGUAAACCUCUUUUGCCGGGGAGCAAGGGCGGGGACGUGUCCCGGCCCGGAGAGUCCCCGGAGAAACAGCAUCGGCUAACUCCGUGCCAGCAGCCGCGGUAAUAUGGAGGAUGCGAGCGGUAUUCGGAUUUUUUGGGGUUAAAGGGUGCAUUGGCGGGCUUUUAAGUCAGGGGUAAAAAUUCGGGGCGCAAACCCGUCCGGCCGUUGAAACUGGAGGCCUUGAGUGGGCGAGAAGAAGGCGGAAUGCGUGGUGUAGCGGUGAAAUGCAUCGAUAUCACGCAGAACCCCGAUUGCGAAGGCAGCCUUCCGGCGCCCUACUGACGCUGAGGCACGAAAGUGCGGGGAUCGAACAGGAUUAGAUACCCCAGUAGUC
rnacentral:rRNA from 1 species